AAUAGAUACCCGGGUAGUCCACGCCGUAAACGAUGAGUGCUAAGUGUUAGGGGGUUUCCGCCCCUUAGUGCUGCAGCUAACGCAUUAAGCACUCCGCCUGGGGAGUACGGUCGCAAGACUGAAACUCAAAGGAAUUGACGGGGGCCCGCACAAGCGGUGGAGCAUGUGGUUUAAUUCGAAGCAACGCGAAGAACCUUACCAGGUCUUGACAUCCCAUUGACCGCUAUGGAGACAUAGCUUUCCCUUCGGGGACAGUGGUGACAGGUGGUGCAUGGUUGUCGUCAGCUCGUGUCGUGAGAUGUUGGGUUAAGUCCCGCAACGAGCGCAACCCUUGUUCUUAGUUGCCAUCAUUUAGUUGGGCACUCUAAGGAGACUGCCGGUGACAAACCGGAGGAAGGUGGGGAUGACGUCAAAUCAUCAUGCCCCUUAUGACCUGGGCUACACACGUGCUACAAUGGACGGUACAAACGGUUGCCAACCCGCGAGGGGAGCUAAUCCGAUAAAACCGUUCUCAGUUCGGAUUGUAGGCUGCAACUCG
rnacentral:rRNA from 1 species